UUCACUCUCCCUCUGUCUUCAAGAAAUGGAUCGUAGAAGUGCAUUUGCCGUUGCUUUGAUUUGCUUUGUGGUGACCGCUGUCGGUGGUCAAUCUCCGGCAGCCUCACCUACUAAAGCUCCGCCGGCAGCGACUACUCCUGCCACUGCUCCCGCUACUGCCCCUGUUAGCAAACCUAAAUCACCGGCUCCAACUGCUGCCCCUACCACUUCCCCACCAACUUCUUCACCACCGGCUGCGGCUCCGGAGAAGUCUGCGGCGGUUCCAGCCCCAUCUAAAUCUGCUCCGGCUUCUUCUCCUCCGGCUGCUGCUCCGGUGAGUUCUCCACCGGCUCCAGUACCUGUGAGCUCUCCUCCAGCCAAAUCGCCUCCCGUUGCUGCACCGACGACUCCACCAGAGAGCUCGGCCUCUCCUCCGGCUCUUGUUGCGGCACCAACUACUGCUGAGGUUCCGGCCCCAGCUCCAAGCAAGAGCAAGAGCAAAAGCAAGAAAUCCAAGAAACACCAUGCUCCGGCUCCUUCACCUGAUAUGCUUGGACCUCCCGCUCCACCAACUGGAGCUCCUGGACCUAGCCUCGAUGCUUCCUCUCCCGGUCCAUCUGUCGCUGCCGAUGAGGUACAUUCUCUUCUCUUUACUAACGCUUCAGUAGCUUACAUCAUAUAACAAUGCGCUUUCAGAUCUGAACUUUUACACUGCAUAAAUGUAGAGAGAUCUUGUUUUUCUUUUAAUCGCGUCUAAAGGAUGCACCGUUGAGCUAGUUCAUUUACUUUUCUGAAAAAGGACCGACCAAUGGAUCUUUUUUUCAUCUUAAAACUAUAUUUAUUUGUAACAUUUAAAGAGUUAUUAUUAACAAAUGCAGAGUGGAGCAGCGGCAAUGAAGAACAUGAAGAAGAUAAUUGGAGGGUUGGCGUUGGGAUGGGCAGCCAUUGCUUUGAGCUUCUAGAUUGGUUUUGAUCACAUUCCACAUUCUGCGUUCUAAUUCUUUGGUUGGUGUACUGAGAGGCGGAAACUCUAGUUUUUUUUUCCUAUGUAAUUUCCACCAUUCUUUUUUUUUCCCCUUCAUUUACCCAUUUUCUGUCUUUUAUUUCUCUAUUAUAUUUUAAUAAAAUCACAAUUUAUUUUACUAAUACCAAUGCUAAUGAAUCUCAAGAUCAUUUGUGCAGGUUAAACAUUGUAAAAGUAACAAAACUGAAACGAUCAUAUAGCUCAUGAACCAUUACAGGGAAAUUGGUUAGACAAUGUUCCAAUGAAAGUACAGGAAAGCUUAAAAUGGCAGCAAAUGCAUAUCUUACAAAUCAAUCUGAAUAUUUAGUUUAAUCUGAAAGAACAGUUUUGAGUAAAAAGUAAUUAGGCAUGGGGGCAUAAACCAGGAGAGACGUUAUUCAUUGGUUCCUAUCGUCUUCUCCCCCGGCUGCAAACACCAGACAGACUUACAUGUAUGAAACUUCUUACAUUCACAAUUGCCACGUAUCAGAAGAAGCACUUCACAAGAGGACUCUACAAAUUAAAAAUUCUCUUUUUCUCUACAACAAAACCCUGUAAAAUGUAAGCCCAAGCAGCAAACCUUCAAAAUGCAUUAUUUGAAGCAUCAAAUGUAUACAAACUGUAUUAGACCCAAUGCCUACUUUCAAGCGUGAUUCGUCCUUAAUUCUAAAGCUUUUAAUUUUAUUGGUUAAUAUUGGUGUUUUUGUCGUUUUCCCAUCAACCCAAAGCCAAAAGCAUGCAAAUUCCCUUCACUUGGAAUAUGGAGAUGGUAAAGUAGAAAAGUAUUCAUAAUACGCUAUGAUAUAUAUAUGCGUGUGUGCGUGUAAAUGGCCACUAUGAAGCGUGUGUGCGUGUAAAUGGCCACUAUGAAGCUUUCUUAUUUGCUCGAAAAAGAAGGCAAAUAUUAAUUAAUAAUAUAUAAUAUUUGGCAUUCAUUAAUAAGACUCAGUGAAAUAAAUAAUUAAGAUAAUAUAAUUAAUUUAAUAUAUACCAGGUUGAUUUAUCCAUUUAUGCUGAAAAAAAAAUCUACAUUUAAUUAUCUAUGUUUUUUUUUUAAUUUAUCAAUGUUGUUUUGAAGAGAGAAAGGAAAGCACGUCUUACAUGGUGCAUUUUCACUGUCUAUGUCAUUGAAAAUGCGUCUUAUAGGGCGUAUUUUUAGCUACGUCAGCUGAACAUGUGUCAUGUUUUCACAAAUUGACAAUUUAGCUCUUUUGAUCAGAUGGUUAAGCGUUAGUGUUUUUAGUCUUUAAGUCUUAGGUUCAAUUCCUCUCCUAUUCAUUUUUAUAAUUUUUAUUUCAUGUUAUUUUAAGUUUUUUUUAAUUAAUAUUUUUGACACAUUAGCUCUUUUGGUUAGAUGAUUAGAUAAUUGUGAUUUCUUCUUUCAGUCCUAAGUUUGAUUCCUUUUAUAAGAAUUUUAAUAUGUAUUUUUUAUUUCAAUUUUUUUAUUAUUUUUAAUUAAUAUUUUUAAUUAAUAAAUAUAUUGUUUUCAAGUUUUUUUAUUUUUUAUUUAUCUUUUUAAUUAAUAACUCUUUUAUUUAUAAAAUCAAAUAAUUAUUGAAAAUAUCAUUAUUUUUAGUAAAUAUAAUUUUUAUUUGUGUAAUUUUUAUCUUUCAAUCCAUAUCAUGAAUGUAGUAAAUUGACAUAUUAUAUAUUUUUGUAUAAUGUAUGAUGAUGAUGAAUAGAUAUAAAUUUAUUAUAUAUGACAAUCCAAUAAUAUAUUCUACGAUUCAUACAAUAUAUGAUGAUGAUGUAUAGAUAAUGAUUGUGGAAGGGUCGAGCUUUAUAGCAUUGAAGAAGAAUAUAGAUCGGCGAUAUUUUAAAACCGAAAAAUCUAUAUUGUGAUGCUGUGCAAAAUAAUAGGAGUGAGCAAAAUUCAUUUGAUCCAAAAAAAUUAAAUUUUGAGUUAAUUGAAUCGAGUUAUUUGAAUUAUUCAAGUCAACUCGAGUAAGUAAUUCGAGUUUCGAGUUCGAAUCGAGUUGAAUUUUACAAUUAAAAUAACUCGAAUAAUUCGAAUAACAUAUUGGUAUAAAUACCUUUUUGGUCUCUGCCAAGUUUGAAAAUGAACAAAUUGACCUCUCUCUCAAUAAAAAUUACAAAAUAAUUUUAAAAUUUCAAAAUAUUUAUAAAAAUUCCAAAUUUAUACUUUUUAAAAAUUAUAAAAAUUUCAAAAAAAAAUCUGAAAAAAUAUAAAGAAAGUUAAAAUAUUAAAAUUUUUCUAGAAUAAUAAUUUUGGGACCUAAAUAAGUUAAUUAAUGAUUCAAGUUUAUCAUACUAAAGUAAUUUUUUUAUUCUGCUUUGAAAAAGUUUUCAAAUAUAUAUGGUUUCAAAUGUAAGUGUUAUAACAUGGAAUUAGUUAUAGUAUAACAAGAUUUUAAUUUAACAUGUUUAAUUUUUUAAUUUAACUCGAACAAUUUCAUUCGAAUUGACUCGAAUUUUAUUUUACUCAAUUCAAUUUGAAAAAAAUUUAAAUCGAGUUAGAAUGAUAAAAUAAAACUCGUUAACUCAAUUAACUCAAAAAUUUUUAAUAGAGACAGUGGAAUACUCACUUUUACAUAAUAAUGUACCGAGAGAGGCCAAAGGGUGGAGGUGAAAUAAUUACACAACUCAACUAUUUUGCAAAACUUUUUUUAAAACUCUAAUAUAUAGAUGAUAAAAAAAAGCCUUAGCCACUUGACAAUUUUUAACGAAAAGAGAGAAGGUUAGGGUGUUUAAGUAUAAUACACGUCACGUUACUCCAGACAAGUUUUGCUUGCAGAGACACAGUUUCUUGCCGGUGAGUCGGUGACCCAUCUCAAAAUAUCACCCGUAACUGCUUUACCCGGUCACGCGGCCGCCUCCUAUUGGUUUGUCUCUUUGCGCAGCCAUAGCCCACUCUCCCUACGUCCAGCUGUCUCACUACUUCAUAACAAUUGUAUCAUUCAAUUAGUUAUUGUAGGUUUAAUUUUUUCCAACCCCUUUACUCUUUCAGCUUUUAAAUUUUAAUCUAUCACCUUUUAAUUCCCUAUCUCUCCUGCUUGAUUUAAAAAUUAAAAUUUAAUUAAUAACAUUUCCAUUCAAUUUAAAUAUAUAUUAUUAUUAUUUUUAGAUCAAAGCUUCGAAUAUUAAAAUUUAACCAAGUUUUCAUGAAUUGGACUUUUAAAUAAAAAUGAAGAGAAACUAAAUUUUUAAAAUCAAAAGUAGGAAGGCUAAAUUUUAAAACCCCAAAGAGUAUAGGGGUUGGGGAUAGAAUUAAACAUUUAUUAUAAUAUUAAUUAGUAGGGUAAACUACACCUAAGGUCACUAAAUUAUUAGUAAAUUCAUAUUUUGGUCACUUAACUUUAAAAAAUUACAACAUGGUCACUGAAUUAUUCAAAAGUAUUUAUUUAAGUCAUUGAGUUGUUAAGUAUUUUUUUAUGACGAUUGAUACAAUGGAUUAGUACCUAUGAAGAGUAGAACAUACCUUGUAAGAGAUCGAAAAAGAAAACUGUUUGAAUUUUGAUUCGUAAAUUCAUAACAUUUAAAGUUGCUCCACGAAAAUAAUUAAAUUGUUGAAGAGAAGAAGAAUGAGAUUUUAUGAUUGGUGCAGACCGUGUGUAUAAAGAAAGUUAUCCAACAGCGAUUUAAUAGCCCAAUGAAUUAAAUAAAAUCCUUCGAAUGAUUUAGUGACUAUUUUCUAACUUUUUGAAGUUGAACGACUUAAAUGUAAAUUUAUUAAUACUUCAGUGACCUUGGGUGUAGUUUACCCUACUCAGGUAAUGUAACAACAAAUUACAUGGUUCAUGUAUGUGGGCCCCCAAUCCAGACUGUCGAGUCUUGAUCGCCACAUUACAAUUUGAUGACGGUGGGCCCCGAAAUAGCUUCUCAUCCAACGGCUAUUUCUGAUCCAAACACGUUCCUAACUUUUUCUUCUUUUCUUUUUAUAAUCAUCAUUUUUUCUGAUUCUCUCCCUCAUUUAUUUAUAUAUUUAUUGAGAGUCUGUCGUCUCGUUGUCAUUAGUUUCUGUUACUACUUCACUCUCCCUCUGUCUUCAAGAAAUGGAUCGUAGAAGUGCAUUUGCAGUUGCUUUGAUUUGCUUUGUGGUAACCGCUGUCGGUGGUCAAUCUCCGGCAGCCUCACCUACUAAAGCUCCGCCGGCCGCGGCUACUCCUGCUACUGCUCCCGCUACUGCCCCUGUUAGCAAAUCUAAAUCACCGGCUCCAACUGCUGCCCCUACCACUUCCCCACCAACUUCUUCACCACCGGCUGCGGCUCCGGAGAAGUCUGCGGCGGUUCCAGCCCCAUCUAAAUCUGCUCCGGCUUCUUCUCCUCCGGCUGCUGCUCCGGUGAGUUCUCCACCUGCUCCAGUACCUGUGAGCUCUCCUCCAGCCAAAUCGCCUCCCGUUGCUGCACCGACGACUCCACCAGAGAGCUCGGCCUCUCCUCCGGCUCCUGUUGCUGCACCAACUACUGCUGAGGUUCCGGCCCCAGCUCCAAGCAAGAGCAAGAGCAAAAGCAAGAAAUCCAAGAAACACCAUGCUCCGACUCCUUCACCUGAUAUGCUUGGACCUCCCGCUCCACCAACUGGAGCUCCUGGACCUAGCCUCGAUGCUUCCUCUCCCGGUCCAUCUGUCGCUGCCGAUGAGGUACAUUCUUUUUCUUUACUAACGCUUCAGUAGCUUACAUCAUAUAACAAUGCGCUUUCAGAUCCGAACUUUUACACUGCAUAAAUGUAGAGAGAUCUUGUUUUUCUUUUAAUCGCGUCUAAAGGAUGCACCGUUGAGCUAGUUCAUUUACUUUUCUGAAAAAGGACCGACCAACGGAUCUUUUUUUCAUGUAACAUUUAAAGAGUUAUUGUAAACAAAUGCAGAGUGGAGCAGAGGCAAUGAAGAACAUGAAGAAGAUAAUUGGAGGGUUGGCGUUGGGAUGGGCAGCCAUUGCUUUGAGCUUCUAGAUUUGUUUUGAUCACAUUCCACAUUCUGCGUUGUAAUUCUUUGGUUGGUGUACUGAGAGGCGGAAACUCUAGUUUUUUGUCCUUUGUAAUUUCCACUAUUCUUGUUUUUAUCCCUUCAUUUACCCAUUUUCUGUCUUUUAUUUUUCGAUUAUAUAAUAAAAUCACAAUUUAUUUUACUAAUACCAAUGCUAAUGAAUCUCAAGAUCGUUUGUGCGGGUUAAACAUUGUAAAAGUAACAAAACUGAAACGAUCAUAUAUAGCUCAUGAUUACAGGGAAAAAAGGAGCUGUUUGGUUAGACAAUGUUCCAAUAAAAGUACAGAAAAGCUUAAAAUGGCAGCAAAUGCAUAUCUUACAAAUCAAUCUGAAUAUUUAGUUUAAUCUGAAAGAACAGUUUUGAGUAAAAAAUAAUUAGGCAUGAGGGCAUAAACCAGGACAGACGUUAUUCAUUGGUUUCUAUCGUCUUCUCCCCCGGCUGCAAACACCAGACAGACUCACAUGUAUGAAACUUCUUACAUUCACAAUUGCCACGUAUCAGAAGAAGCACUUCACAAGAGGACUCUACAAAUUAAAAAUUCUCUUUUUCUCUACAACAAAAACCCUGUAAAAUGUAAGCCCAAGCAACAAACCCUCAAAAUGCAUUAUUUGAAGCAUCAAACGUAUACAAACUGUAUUAGACCCAAUGCCUACUUUCAGCCUCUUCCAGCACUACCAUGUCGUUGGUUCCUGAAGUAGCUCAGAAGUGCCUGUGCCUGUGAUCAACUCAUGCUUAAAUAAUGGUAAAGAAGAAAGGUUUAGUGAGAAAUAAAAGAAAAAAGAACAGCAGAACUAUUACCUUCUCUUUAGCUCUUGGGGUGCCAGUCUGGGACAAUGCCACUAGUGGUGGAACAGCUCCUUCUUGGAGAACCAUAUUGCAAAACCUACCACUGGUUGUGCAGAGUUGUAAAAGGGCAGCGGCAGCAUUUUCCUUUCCUCUCGCUGAGCCCAACUCAACAACCUCGACCAGCACAGGAAUCCCACCCUCCUGCCCAAUAGCAUUCCUCCCUUCAGGAAUUGUAGCAAGAUUAGCCAAAACAGCAACUGCCUUAUCAACCAUUCCAGCUGCUGGGUCCAUCAAGUCCACAAGGUGUCUUACAGCACCGGCUUGCACAAUUCGAGCCUUGUUUUCGUGAAAUAUUGACAGAUUAAACAAAGCGGUAGCUGCAUCUUUCUUUCCCCUAGGGGUACCAUUCCCCAAUAAAUCAACAAGAGGCUUGAUUGCCCCAGACCUUCCAAUCUUGACUUUGUUAUCCUCAAUGACUGAAAGGCUGAAGAGAGUGGCAGCUGAGUUUUCUUUAGCUUCAGGGCUUCCUGUCUCAAGGACAUGAAUCAGAGGCUCAAUUGCAUCGGCAUCAGCAAUUGCUGUUUUGUUGUUAUCAUUAAUUGACAAGUUAAGAAGUGCUGUAACAGCAUUUUCCUGAGUCUUCGUAUCCGGUGAAUGAAGCAAAUCAACUACCAAGACAAUGGCCCCACAGUUCGCUAUUAUAAUCCGAUUAUCCAUAUUGUGCUUAGCAAGUAACCUGAGUUGAGCUGUGGCCUCUCUUUGAGUAUCAACUGAAGUGCACUUCAAGUCCUCCACUAACUUCUUAACCUGGGCUUCAAUGCCAGAAAGGUCAGCCCUGUUCUCAACACCAGGAGAAGAAACUAUUCUUGGAAUGAACCUUUCCGAUGGCCGGCGCCAGAUUGUUUGGCUUCGCGAUCGUGUAUCCAUCAACCGAGGAGGAAACUGAGGUUCUCUUUGUGGAAUGGCUGAGCUAACUCUAGGCUGUGCAUCAGAUUUCACCUCUCCAGAAGCAUCACUAUUGUAGGCUGCGAGAUGAGUUGAACCCUCAGAAGUCUCAUUGGCAUCUCCAACAGCUCCUCGAGGAGAAUCUGGAUUAGGAAGUGCACUAGAGGCUGAGACAGAUCUUGUGUGGUUCUGAGAUGACUGACCAAUAUUGUUAGAAGGUGACACAGGGGGUUCACCAACAGAAUCGCUAUACCUUUGUUCCAACUUUGACCUGUCUUCCACACUGUUUAGUGAUAUUCUUGCAACAUCCAAACCCGCUCCAUUUCCAGCUAUAGCUGGCAAGGAACUUUCUGAGGUAGAAAGAGGAUGUAGUGGGGAGGUUCCCUUGUGAUGAAGUCCGCCGGAUGUGACUAGGUUCUUACCAGCUUGACCUCUAGACCGUGACUCAGGUGACAAUGGUUGGCUGCUUCUAGGGGGAGGAAAACUAUUUGAAUCCCUUGGCAAGCCAGACUCUGCGUGCACAAGAAGGGGGUAGGAUUGGUCUAAACUGAUGGACUUUGUGGGAUUAGGCAACUUCACAUUGUUUGACUCGCACCAAUUUGCAAUUAGUGCCUUUACUGUGUAAUUAGGUAUAAGAGUGGUAUGAGCCAAAGUUUGCCGUGUCUUGGGGCACACAGUGAGCCCAAGACUAAUCCAGUUCUUGAUGAAAGCCCGCUCAUAGGUUUGGCCAGAUGCCACAAUCACUGGAUCAGUCAUUAGCUCUAGGGAAAGGGGGCAGCAGAAAUCAGCAGGUAUUGGAACUGGGCUACAGGUCUCAGAUUGUUUCAUUGAUACAAGACGAUCAUGCAUGCGAUUUACAAGAGCAAUAAUUUGAUCAAUAAACUCAGCUUCUGCAGUUUUUUCAGCUUGUUCAGCAUUCUCCUUCAACUUUUCAAGGGCCACAGCCUCUAUCAGAAUCUCCUGGUUUGACCUCAAACUCAAGUUCUCUGCAAUUUUCACUAUUAUGUCCGAGGAUGGUCCAACACUAUCCACUUGAUCCCGUAUGGCUUCCCUGAUGACAGAUGAUGCUUGCUCAUAUGCUACAUGCUUAAUUUUCUGCAAGCAGUGCUGCAAUCAAUUGCUAAUAGUUAAACAUCCUGAAAUGUGGAAUCCCCCUUAGCAUUCUUUGAACUCAGAAAUUAAAUCAAAAUGAAAGCUGCAUAUUUUUUCACAUCUCACAACUGUAUACUUAGAUGCCAUUCACGCUCCAAUACAUGACAGUUUUUUGGUAAUCAUUGUGAGAAUACAAUAAUUAUGCUGUAUUUAUAAAACUUAAAUGCAAGAUGAAGAGUACAAUCUUCAAAUAAAAGUAAAAGCUUGAAUUAACUUGGGUUUUAAAUUACCUCAAGAGAUGCUGAACUCAAUUCAUCAGGCAGAUGCUGAUGGGAAGACUUCAAGAACUGGAAUACAUCAAGGCUAAAAUUCCAAAUCUUCGAUAUUAAGGACUCAACUUGCAGAACCUAAAGGUCAAGUGAAAGAGAAGAUAGUUAUCCAAGUGCAUUUAACUAAAGGACAACACUAAUUGACUGACAGUACCUUAAAAGAAAAUUAUAUUCUUUUAUAACAUUAUUUCCUAAAAGGGCACCCAUAUAUAGCAAUUUUCCACCUAAAUAUGAGCGAACAUUCAAGAAUCAGCACUUAGGGGCUAAACUUAUUCCAAAAGCUAUACAUUCCAACAAUCUCUUAGGACAAACAUGAUGAUGUUCUAAUAACCAUAAGAAAUUAGAAGAAAAUGUGAUCAUAGACCAUAGUGCAGAAAACAUCCACAAGAAUUAACUGUAAAAUGACAGCAAUAAUCUACAACAUGCAUCUCAUAUGAAAAUAUUAAUGUUCAGAUGGGUAAUUGAUUAAAUCUUCACGAUAUAAGGUGAAUGUCAAUGCCUAAAUGUUUACCUUAGGUACUUCUUUUCCAGUCAUAAGUGGACUAGAAUUGCUAAGUGAAGAUGUGAACUCAAGUAACUAGUAACUUACAAAGUAAACUUUACUCAAAAGGGGUUGCCAGCUCUCGAAUUGCUCUCUCAAUUCUUCUAUAGAGAGACUCAAUCCUUCAAAUGCCUUACCAAGCACUUUAUCAGAAGUAAUUUCUGAAUCAAUAACUGCGCUAAGAAUUGGCUUCAACAACUUUAGUAUCUCUUCUGCUCUCUGGUAAAACUUCUGAACUGGUUCUGAGUUAAUGUUCUCAAAAGAUGACAAAUUUAAAAAUGAGGAAAUGUUACCGAGAAGUGCUUUUAACAAAGAAAUCUCCAUAUGAUCUGGGUAACAAAAAAAGUCAGAGAGAUCGCACGUAAGAAAGAGCAGAAGGAGAAAAACUAUAAGAAUAUAAUAAGCAAACAAAAGAUGCAAGUAUCUUUGUCGUGAAACAACAGGGAGAAAACUUUGGGCCUAAUUACUUUAGUUUAACAACAUAAUUCCUUUCUCAGCAUUCAAUUUAACCUAAAGCAAAAUAUCAAUGAACUAGAGCUUAUUCUGCCAACAUAACAGUUAUUUCAUAACCGAACUAAUACAGGAAAAAAUGCAUGAACUCAUUUGCAGAAGUUUGGAGGGUGAAAAAAGUGAAGCCAGAAAGUCACUUACAACAAGGUACAUACCGUGUUUCAUAAAUUCUAACAGCAAAAUCCUUUCUCAAUAAUGGAUGACGAAUCCUUUGGAAACCAUAUUAUUCCAAAAAACUCAAGAAAACCCUUUUGAACAUCAGCACCAUAGCUCAUGUAGCACACUAUCUUGAUAACAAGAACCAGACAGGUUCUAGAAAUCCACUUUUGCCAACCAGUAAUCCCACUGUAGAAUCAAAAUUUUAGAUCAAGCUUGAUUGAAACUUAAAAUAUUAAGAGCACGAACAAAAAAAAAAAUUUAAACCAUCAAAUAUAAUAUUUACCACCAAAACACUCACAGCAAUUACAGCAAAGUUUCCUUAAAAAGUUCAUUAUGCUGAUAAUUUUCCUAGCAUCCAUGAAAUGUAACAAACGCAAACCUAAAAGAAAUAACCAAGAGCAGCGACCUCUCCACAUUAAACAUAACACGAUCCCCAUUCACCCACUACCAAAGAGAGUUACUUGACUAAAAACAAGCCAAACCCUUCUCAGAUUAGAUAAAAUGAAUUUGCCUUUACUCCAAUACUUCGUAAGCUUCUGUACUACCUGCAGUCCCUCUUCACUACUGCCCUAAUUUCUAGGAAAUCAACAAUUAGUUAUUUGGAUAUAUUUCUCCUAUUGCACAUCAGACACACCUUUUAGAAAAGAAAAAAGACACUAUUAGAACAAAAUAACCGGAUAAGACUACUGGGAUAAAGAGCCAUCCUAUACAAAUCAAUCAGUUGAUGCUUCAAAUCAAGGACAUAAAGGCCUCAACAAGAAUUACAAAAACAAACAUAAAAUGUCGUGGGAACCAUGGUCAAGUUCCACAUGCUACUAGAUGAAAACAAGCGCGCUGUAAUGAAGCUACAAAUUUACCCAAACCAUUACUUCCAAAACCUAUCAGAAAUGGUUUCUAAUAUCAUUUAUAUUUCUUAGUUUAUAAUUUACUUGCUUUCCAAGUUCCCAAUAACAGAAUAGUAAAGUCACCACUUAAUCAAAUCGUUUUAGAACUUAAUGAUUUUGGCACUCCUGCAUAUUAGUGUCAUACUCGUUAAAAAAAUUAAUUUGUUCAUUGAACAAAUAUAAGCUGUUUUUCGCACUUUCCCAGCAGCAAGGCAGAAAAAUAAAUGAAUAAAACUUAACCCUAAAACCCCAUCAGUGGUCCUUCAAAUAUAAUUUAUCCAAAACACCCACUUAGCCUUUCAAAAUCAUACUAUGAAACAAUAUGAUCAUAAAGGAAGUAAUUAGAUCAAAUGAGUUUACUUAUUAUUUCAAAAAAAAUACCCAACUCCAAAUAAGUAAACAACAACACAAAUGCAUAUAUAAAAACCAAAAAGAUAAUUGAACUCAACAAGAUAAAGAGAGAUUUCCAAAGCCAAAGAAAAAAUUUAGUACCUUAAUGCAGCUUUGAAUUUUGGGUUUUUUUUCCUUCUUGUUUAUUGAUAUCGCUAAUCUUUCCAAAAAGAAAAAAUAAAUAAGUCCCAGAUUUCGCUAUCCUGUUGCUGGGUCUUCAGGCCAUUCUUUUUCCUUUUUCAAGCUUUUUUUUUUUAAUUUUUGGGGAUUAGUUUCUUUUUUUAAUUUAUUUAAUCGUUUUGCUGGCGUUGCUUAGUUGGAGAUUGGCAGAUUCUCGUCGUUUUGGAAUUUCUUUAUGGGUAUUUUGACUGGAAUUUUAGAAUUUAUUUUCUUUUAUACUUUUAUGAUUGGCCAAAAGUAGUAAUCCUACUUCAUGUAAUAAAUAACUAAAUAUGCUUACAAAUAAAAGAAUUUUCAUUAAAAAUACCCUUAUAUAUAAAUUUUAUGCAUUUAAUUUGCCACUAAUUUUAAUCUAAUUGCUACAGUUAUCAAUCUUAUCAUCCCCGCUGAUUUUAGCUUUAUUGGAACCAAGCUGAUAUCCAUCUAAAUGGAUCCUCUUAAAAUAUAGGCAUAAUGACUUGAAUCUCUAAUUUUACAAAAAAGAAAAUUAUUUUUACUAUUUAUUUAAUUUUUCGUCUUUUUUAUCAAAUCUCUUCAAAAUAGAUAGAAAAGUUAAUUUUUUUUUUAAAAUUUUGUUUAUGAUACAUACAUAUAGAUUGCCACAUGAAUGACACGUCAACAAUGUUAACUUUUUAUUUAUUUUGAGUAAUUUGACAAUAAAUACAAAUUCAAGAGUUAAAAUGGCGAAAAUUUAUAUGGGAUUAAAAUAAAUUUUUUUAAAUUAGAGGAUCAAUAUGUUAACUUAUUUAAUAAUUUAAAUAUUAAUAAAUUAAUAAAUAUUUUAAAUUUUAAUUAAAUCAUUUUUACCGUAUUCAAUAUACAAUAUGUAAUCAAUACAAAACAUCAUUAUACAAAAUAAUAAUUAAUUGAAAUAAUUAACAUAGAAAUUAUUUUAAAAAUUCAAAUAAAAUGCUAAUAAAAAAAUUUAAUCAUUAUUAAACCAUUUGUAACUAUGAAAAAAUUCAAAAUUUUAACAUUUUAUUUUCUGAGUAAUAUAUAUUUUAUUUAGAGUAGAUUAUUCAAGUACAAGCAAUACGAAAUAUUGGUGUUUCAAUCUUUUGAAAGCAGUCGCAAUAUUAAUAGAUAUUUUAGAAUCAAAGAAUAUGAAGAAAAAAAAAGCAAUUUGUUAAAAGCAAUCCUAAUAUUAGUAGAAAUUUCUAAAAUCAGAUUUACAAUAAAUAAAUAAAAAAAAACAAACAAAUGCAACAGUAAAUUGAAAUACAUGUUUUGUUGAAAAGCUGGUUCAUGUAUAUCCGGCUUGGACAAAGUUUGAGGUAGAUUUUCAAAAUUACAGUGUUUGGUUCCUUGAAAUGGUUGAAAAGAAUGUUUUUGUUAAGAGUCUCACUCACUCCAAUCCUCUAUAUCCAGCAAGAUAUGAUAAAUCUAUUGUUUACAACACUGUUGUUUCAAACAGUAAUCCCUCUAGGAGGCUUUCAUCAAUAUUGGCAUUUGGUAGUAGGUGUAAGGUGUUUCGAGCUUUCUGAUACCAUGCCUUGCCAAGGGUGUCUAAGAUCGACUUCUUUGAUUCGAUAUGCCGCUUUAGGGAGUAUCAAACAACGAAAAGCCUCGAGAAACAAGGUAAAUUAUAAAUGCAAGAUUUGCGCCUGUAAAGGCAGACACUAUGCUUGUGAACAUUUGGCCACUCACUUCGGAGGAGAAGAAAUUGAGUAAAAGAUACCCGUUGAUCACGAUCACCAGCGCUGCCACAAUCCAUGCCACUGUCUGCAGAAGAGAGGGGAAAACGUAAACAAGGCGAAUUCUUUAUUGACAGGAUCUACAUGCAGUAACCACAUUACUUUGAGUGUUGAUAAGGCAAUCAUCACUCACUGACAUUUCCUUUUCUAUGCUUAGUAGGGAAAAUAUUGAUGAACUGAAGCAGGUAUGAAGAUGUUGAUCACCAAAUAAGUGGAACUUAUAAAAUAGCAUGAGUCUAUAGUUUGCGUGAUGGAACGGUACAAGCACUUAGUUCAUGACUAGGUGUAGAAAAAGAGCUAGGUUAUAUCAAUGGCUUCAAGGAAUCCCAGUAUAACAGUGUAUAUGAAUGGAAAAUGUAAUGAAACUAGAACUCUCAAGAGGUAGCUUUUAGACAACAAAAGUUGUACAUUGUCCCCUGCUAAAAGAUGGAAUGGAAGAAGUUCUAACUGCUAUCAGGGUCGCUACAUCGUUUUCAAUGAACCGAUUUCGCAUUUAUAUAGCUCAUGCCACAGUCAGUGGCAGGAGAGACGGGUUAAUGUAUUAGCAAGGUGCAACACAAGGAGAAUAGCAGCAUACCUUGAGUACAUGGCCAAUUCUGAAGGCACCCAUGAUUUGUUCUUUGGAUACCAGACAAAGAAGUGGGAUAAGAGCAAAAGGGAUCUGAAAUGACUGAAGCACAUUAAGCCAUUCGUUCAAUGUAUCAAGGGCUGCUUCAGACGAAUCGAAAACAAGAGCAACUAUAAUAGUAGGAAUAAUUGCACAACUCCUUGUGAUCAAAGCUCUUACCCAUUUUUUCAACUUCAGCUUCAAGAAGCCUCCCAUGAUGAACUGCCCUGCAUAAGUGCCUGUAAUAGUGCUACUUUGUCCAGCUACUAACAACCCAAUAGCCCAAAUAUACAAAGUGGGGAGUAACCCGCCUCCAUAUUUUUCUUCAAGAUACUGGCCUGCAUUCCCAAGACCAAUACCAGUGGCUAUUUCUGUGUCAUAAAAUGCUUUAGCAAAGACAGUGGUAACAAACAGGUUGAUUAUAAAUGAAAUUAUAAGUGCAGCAGUCGACUCGAUCGAGUAAUAAUUGAGAGCUUCUUGCACCUGGCCUUUCUUGUUACGAUCGAUUUCGCGUGAUUGCACUAGAGCAGAGUGCAAGAAUACAUUGUGAGGCAUAAUAAUGCAGCCCACAACUCCCACAGCCUGCUUGAUGGUUUUGGAGCUGAGUUUUGGAACCGAAACACCUGUGAAAAUAUGAAACCAUUUGAGCAUCAGUGAACUGCAAUACUAAAUGAAAUUUAUUGAGAUAUAUGAAGCAUGGAAUUUGCUACAAUGGAGCCGAGUUAGUCACCGUGAAGAAGCUCGGUGCCACUUGGUUUUGUUUCACCGACCAUCCAAGCAAAUGAGACGGCCAUUGUUGCAAUAAGGACAGCAAAAAAUGCUUCCAGCUUCCUCACUCCAUAGUUUUCAAGAAACAAGAAGAUAAAACUGUAACAAGCCAAAGAAAACGAAGAACCAGGUGAGCAUACAAAAUAAACCGAAAACCUUGAAAAUUCAGACAUCGUAUAUCAUAAAGAAGCAACCUUUAAUGCACACAAAUACUUCUAACAACAAUAAUAAUAACUCCAAAUAUCAACAAGAACACUAACCAAUCACUAGCCGUAAUAAGAACUCCAGCCCACAAAGGCAAAGCACCAUUACUCAAAAUCUUAAUAGCAAUAACACUUCCAAUGACUUCCUGUAUAUCAGCUCCAACCAAAGCCAGCUCUGCCAUCACCCACAAAACCAUCCUAUCCCAAGUCGGGUACUCUUCGCUACAAAGCUCAGCCAAGUGUUUCCCUGUCGCCACACCAAGCCUUGCAGCCAACAACUGAACUAACAACCCCAUAGCCGUAGCCCACAUCAACAGCCACAGUAAAGAGUAACCGGCUAUAGCUCCGGCUUGGAGAUCGCCUUCUAAAUUCCCAGGGUCCAAAAACGCUAUUGACAUUAAAAAACCGGGUCCGGUGAAAAGCCAAAGCUUUUUCCAGGAAAAAGGUGGGACGACACCCAGUGAAGCUUCAUCGUCUGGUUCGUUGAUUCCAAGGAUGUGGACCUUUUCACCGGAGUCGUAGGCAACAUCCUCGUCCGAGUCUUGAUCGGAUAGUAACGGAACCUUAUUGUCUUCCGGUUGCAUGUUGGGGUGUAGGCAGCGUCUAGUGGAGGGUGCUUUUGGCUUUUGGACUUGGUUUGAACAAAACUAAAACGAAAAGGACAACUACCGUUCCUUCCCACCAUUGCUCGUGGGCUUUCCUUUUUCGCCUUUAGUGCCUUCACUUCUUUUUUUUUUUUUUUUUUUUUACCAUAUACUAUAUAUUUAUGGGAUUCUUGGUAAUUUGCCACAUACAUAAAUGCAAUGGCUAGCAAAUUUCUAGAAUAAAAAUGAUAGAAUUUAAACUUCAGCAUAAAAAUUGUAAAAUUUCUUUAAAGUAGAAAGGUUUAAUCGAAUCAAAUUUUUAAUUUUAAAUCCAAUCUUACAUUUGAGUUUUAAUCUAUUUAUCAGGAAAUACGUUAAAAUUAUUAUAUUAAGUUCAUUAAUGUAACAUUUUGAAAUAAAAAAAAAUUACUCACUUAUAAUCAUUUAAAAGAAAUUGUAAUAGAUUUAAAUUUAACAUAAGAAUUAACAAUAUUAAUAAUUAGAUUUAUAAUUUUAAAUCUUAAAAGUAGAGAGAUUAAAAUUUUAAAAAUAAAAAUAUAAGAACUAAAUUAUAAAUAUAUGAAGAAUAUAGAGCAUAUUUUAACAAAUUUCUUAUAGGUUAAAUUCAACUCGAUUUCAUGUCAUGACUCUGUUUUUUCUCUAUGAGCUUUUUGGAUUGAAAUAUAAAUUUUUUUAAACUUAUAGCUACAAAAUGCGUUUAAGAAAAAAAUAAAAAAAAAUAAAUUUAGCCCUUCACUAAAUUUACAAUCAAUUGAGCUUUCGAUAAUAGUCUUUAUAUUUGAUUAUGUUGACCGUUAAAAUUAAUUGGCAGACCAAUAAAAUAGUGGCACGUGUGAGUUUAUAGUUUAAUCUUAUAUUUUUUCAUUAAAAAUAUUAAAAAACAUAAAGAUUAUAAAAAAUUAGAGUAAACUAUCAAAAUAGUCACUUUUGUUUGCCUUAGGUCACAUUUUAGUCACUUAUGUUUGAAAUGUUAUGUUUUAGUCACUUACGUUAUCAUGUUGUAACAUUUUAGUCACUAAGCCAUUAACAGUGUAAUGGUAAGCUAAGGUGGCACGUUAAAUCAUCAUUUUAAAUAAAAAUUUUAGGAGAAAUUCUACAAUUGAUCCUUAUAUUUUUUUCCAUUUUGAGCAAUUUAAUUUUUUUUCUUUUAUGUUCUUUUAACUUUCUUUUUUUUUCCAUUCUCUUCUGCUUCUCCCUCUGUUUUCCUCCUUUUUUUCAUUUCUUUUAACGUAGUUUUUCCAUAUUUUUCAUUUGUUAAAACUAGUCCACAAGCUUGUCUUACUCGAAAAAAUUAAAUUGUUAAAAAAAAGUAUUGGGACUAGUUUUAACAAAUGGAAAACAUAGAAAAACUACGUUAAAAGAAAUGGAAAAAGGAGGAAAACAGAUGGAGAAGCAGAAGGAAAUGGAAAAUAAAGGAAAAAAAGAAAGUUAAAAAAUAAAAGAAAAAAAUUAAAUUGCUCAAAACAAAAAAAUACGGGGACCGAUUGCAUAAAUUAACCUAAAAUUUUUGUUUGAAAUGAUGAUUUAACGUGCCACGUCAGCUUAUCGUUACAUCGUUAACGACAAUUAACGGCUCAGUGACUAAAAUGUUACAACGCGAUAACAUAAGUGACUAAAACGUAACAUUUCAAACAUAAGUGACUAAAAUAUAACCUAAGGUAAACAAAAGUGACUAUUUUGAUAGUUUACUCAAAAAAUUAUAAAAUUUAUAAAAUUCUAAUAAAUUAUAAAAAAAAUUAAUAAAGCAUAUUUAAAAUAUUUAAAUCUUAUAAAAACUUAUAAAUAAUAAAAAUCUAAUAAAUUAUAAAAUUAUUAAAAAUUAGAAAAAUUAAAAAUUAUAAAAAAAAAUUAUUUAAACACUUAAAAGCAUAAUGAACACAUGACAUUAGACCAAUAUUUGGAUAAUGAGAAUAGUCAUCAAAUUGUUAGGAUCAAUUUCAUGUUGAGUAAAAUGUUCUUGAUCCUCUGCAAAUAAAACAAUAGUUGCAGGACCCUUUUAUUUUUAUCAAUAAAUUAUUUUUGUAAAAUUUUUAUCUCUAAUUUUCUAAGUAUAGUACAUGGACUUAAAAAGUUGAAAAGUGUAUGCUAACUAUGUUAUGAUAUAAAGUAUUUUUGGUACAAUUAGAAACUAUCAACUAAAAUUUCAUUAUCCAACAAUUACAAAUAUUAGCAUAUCAAUAUAAAAUAUUUUAACCAAGGUUUUUAAAACUGGACCAAUAGUUGAACUAACUAGGCCAUUGAUUCUACCAGUUCAAUUGUUCUGUUUAGUUCAAUUAAAUAAAUCAUUAAAAAAAUUUAAAAAUAAAAAAGUAUUAAAAAAAAGACCAAUUACUUAAAAUUUUGGCAAAAAUGUUUUUGGCAAUUUUUGAAAAUAAGUAUGAUUUUAAAUGCUUAGUUGUUGUCUUAGUCCAGUUAGUAAAUAUGAUACUUUGUAUCCGGAUCCUUCGAUCGGGUCGGGUAUAAGGUGUUAUAAUAGUGGUAGUUUAUUUAUUUAGAAUAAAUUUUAAUUUUUGGAAAUUACGAUAUUUAUUGGUUUUUUAUUGAGAGAAUUACUUUCAUAUUGAAAGUAAGUUUCGUAUUCUGUGUUUGGUUGGUAUUGCUUGAGCCCACACUCGACAUAUUUCGUGGUAUGAGGAUAGUAGAGAAUGUCAUUCGGUUGAAAAUCAGGAUCGACUUGAAUUCAACUCGCACAAAACAUGAGUACUUAUUGAUAAAAGUUUAUUACUAUAAAUAUCACAAAUUAAGUCGGUUUUAAAAAAUUUUAAACUUUCACUAUAAAUAUAAAUUGUUUUUUAAACCGGAUUCUUCCAACAAUCCUUGAAAUUCCGAAUAGCUUGUAGACAUCUGAGACUCCUACGAUGCGAAGGACUCAUGGCUAAUGCUCCCUGUGAGAUAUUGGUGCAAUUGAAGGCUUUUCCCAUAAUUUGCUAGCAAUUAUAAGGGCUUACCAACUCUCCGGAUUGCUUUCUUGAACUUGCAAGAAGGGAAUUGUAAAACUUUCAUUCCACACCCUGAUGCUCAAGUCAAACAUAUUGAAGAGAGAAAAGAGAUAAACCAUGUGAUUUGGGGACUUAUGAGAUGGUUAUAAAUGGUGAAGGGGGUUGCCAUUUAUAAGAUGAUUGGAGACAACUAGAGAUUCAAACGUUACGCUCUUAUUAAGAGCUUAAUAGGUGGUAGGUGUCAAUUUCGUGUUGGAAGCUUAGGGUGCACGAGCAUUGAAAUAGGGGAUUUCUCUCCAACAUUCCAGCGUGGGCCUUCUUAACUUUGUGGUCUUCUUCUUUGGGCCGCCUUAUGUGAUAUUGGUAAUGUAGUCUCUAAUGGACUCAAAUAUGGGGACUCAAAGAUCUAGAGUCUGAGUUGUACCCAAAUAAGUAUUUUUUGCUUGUUAUCCGUUCAGUCUUCAAAUAAUCAAAUGUUAUGUAUUCGAUAAUUUGAAAUCGUAAGAUUAAAAUUUCAAGCAAAAAUAUAAAAUUAGAUGCAAGCAUAAUCUGAACUUGUUAGGUACUUCUGUUCCACUCGACUCAAGUUUGUUUGAAAUCUAUGUUGGAUAAGGUAAAAGUACAAAGCAAGCAGAUCUAUGAGUAUACUCUGUAAAUCAAAAUGCUUAUCAAAAGCUUGUGAGUGCCUGAAUUGUUGAGACUUUGCUUCAUUCAAGCAUGUCCUCAGCUUUUCACUUCUCCUCCACUGCCAACACCCUCCAUAAACCGUAGCACUCUCUCAUUCGCCGCCGUCACCAACUUUCCACCAUCACCAGACAAGCUAGCUCUUCUUUUAGAUAAAUCCAGCUCCAUCCAUCACUUGCUCCAAAUCCACGCAGCUCUUCUCCGCCACGGCCUUCAUCAACACCCCAUCCUAAAUUUCAAGCUUCAACGCUCUUACUCUUCUCGAGGCCGUCUCGACUAUUCACUCGCUCUCUUCAAUCGAACUCUCAACCCCAACAUCUUUUUCUACACUUCUAUCAUUAACGCCCACGCCCUCCAUGGUCUCUCCCAAGAAGCUUUAUUUAUCUAUACGCAAAUGUUAUUUGAAGGUGUGCAGCCUAAUGAGUUCACUUUCUCUUCCAUAUUGAAAUCUUGUUCUCUUGAGCAUGGAAAAAUGCUUCAUUCUCAAGUUAUCAAACUUGGGUUUGAUUCAGAUUUGUAUGUAAAGACAGGUCUAGUCGAUGUUUACGCGAGAGGGGGUGACGUUGGGUCCGCCCGUCUCGUGUUCGAGAGAAUGCCAGAGAAGAGUUUAGUUUCUUUGACCACGAUGCUAACUUGUUACGCGAAACACGGGGAGCUUAAGGAGGCAAGGUUGCUGUUUGAUGGAAUGGUGAAGAAGGAUGUGGUAUGUUGGAAUGUGAUGAUCGAUGGGUAUACUCAACAUGGAAUGCCCAAGGAAGCUUUGGUGCUUUUCAGGCGAAUGUUGGCAGCGAAAGCUAGGCCUAAUGAAAUCACUAUACUAACUGUUUUAUCAGCUUGUGGUCAGCUUGGAGCUUUAGAGUCAGGCAGAUGGCUUCAUUCCUAUAUGCAAAAUAAUGAUAUUCAAGUGAGUGUUCGUGUUGCUACUGCUUUGAUUGAUAUGUAUAGCAAAUGUGGGAGCCUGGAGGAUGCAAGAUUAGUGUUCGAUAAGAUUUAUUAUAAGGAUGUUGUUGCAUGGAAUUCGAUGAUUAUAGGGUAUGCCUUGCACGGUUUCAGCCAAGAUGCAUUGGAGUUGUUUCAUGAAAUGUGCAGGAUUGGUUUGCGCCCUACUGAUAUUACUUUCAUUGGUGUUUUGGGUGCAUGUGGUCACGCUGGUUUGGUCAAAGAGGGAUGGAGUUUUUUCAAUGCAAUGAGAGAGGAGUAUGAGAUCGAACCCAAGAUCGAACAUUAUGGAUGUAUGGUAAACCUUCUUGGUCGUGCUGGUCGAUUAGAAGAGGCAUAUGAGCUUGUGAGGAACAUGAAGGUAGAGCCUGAUCCCAUCUUGUGGGGAGCUUUGCUUGGGGCAUGUAGGUUACAUGGUAAUCUUGAAUUGGGAGAGAAAAUAGCAGAGUAUCUUGUCAGCCACAAUCUUGCUAAUUCAGGGACUUAUAUUCUUCUUUCCAACAUGUAUGCUGCAAAAGGCGAUUGGGAAGAGGUGGCGAGGAUAAGGACCUUGAUGAAAGACAGUGGAGUGCAGAAGGAGCCUGGUUGUAGCUCAAUUGAAGUGCACAAUAGGGUUCAUGAGUUCCUUGCUGGGAAUUUGAAACAUCCAAAAACCAAAGAAAUAUAUGAGAUGUUAGAGGCAAUGAAUGGUUGGCUCAAAGCUCAUGGUUACACCCCACAAACAGAGAUUGUACUACAUGACAUAGGGGAUGAACAAAAAGAGCAGUCACUUGAAGUUCACAGUGAGAAGCUGGCGCUUGCAUAUGGUCUAAUCAGCACUCAACCGGGGACCCCUAUCAAGAUCGUAAAAAACCUCCGGGUGUGUUCAGAUUGCCAUGCCGUGACCAAGUUGAUUUCUAAGAUCACCGGCCGUAAAAUUGUAAUGAGGGAUCGGAAUAGGUUCCACCAUUUUGUGAAUGGUUCAUGUUCUUGCGGGGACUACUGGUGAUCAAUAAAAAAGUUAGACCAACAUUCUAGUUUUGUUGAAAUACAGAAGCUAGAAUUGAAUUAGACGCUCAAAACUGAUGCCCUUUGGUUUAGUAAGACGAACUUGCCGUAGAAUGGGAUUAGGCCAUCUUAUUUUAGGCGUCUUCUUGAGGUCAUUGAUUCAGUGUUUUAAAUGCGAAAGGGUGGGAGAGAAGGAAAUUUACAUGACUGAACCAUCGAGGAUGAAUCCAACUUGUAUAUUGAUUUUUAUUUUUAAAGAUUUUAAUAUGUGUAUAACCAUAUUUAAUAUGUCCAUGUAUUUGUUGGGCUCGAGUGUUUUAUUUAAAGAACAAAAAAUCUAGAUAAACGAAAUUAAACUAUGCUAUCGUGUGUAUAUAGAAUCUAAAAUAAAGUUUUAUGCAAAGAAGGAAAUAAUUUUAGGUCUCGAUUCGCUAGUAUAUUAUACUAUUAAUCACAAUAAAUAAUAAUUUCAUCCAAUUUUACAAUUAAUUUAAUUUUAUUAUUUUUAUUUAGCCAUUACUUUUAGGUAUAAUGCCAAAAUUUUGUUAACAAAUACAUUUUCUUUCAAUUUAGUCCUUUUCUUUUUUUAAAUUAAAUUUAGUUUUUAACUUUUUAAAAAGAGUCGAAUUUGACUAUUAACUUUUCAAAAAGUCAAAUUAUUAUUUAAAACGAAAAUACUGACUAAAAUAUUAAAAUUUUAAAUAUGAUAACCUGUAUGGCAAUUCACAUGUACUUCAUAUAUUUUUUAAUUUUUAUGAAAUUUUGUUGGAUUUUGAAUUUUUUAAUAUUAUUGUAAUUUUUAAAUUAUUUAAAUAGUGCAAUGUUAGCAUGAAGUACAUAUGGACUAUUACACGAGUUACCACGCUGACAUUAUUAAAAAAUUAAUAUUUUAGUUGAUAUUUUCAUUAAAAAAUUAACUUUUUGUAAAUUUUAAUAUUCGAUGUACCAUUUAAUUUUUCCUUUGUUUUUUUUUGUUGCUUUUGUAAAAAUAAAAAUUCUCAUAGAAUGGAAAUCAUUCUAAUCUCAAAAUUUAAAAUUAAACAUUUAUAGUAUUAUGUUUUAAUUUUUUAAUCAUGAAAUGUAAUUAAAAGUAAUUUAAAUAAUAUAUACAAUUAGAGCUGAGCAAAAUUCGAUUCGAUUUGAAAAAUUCGAUAAAAAAUUAAAAAAUUGAAUUAAAUAGUUCGAGUUAUUUGAGUUAAUCAAGUUAUUCGGAUAAACUCGAAUAAAAAAAUUAAGUUUUUCGGUUUAACAUGAAUAUGAAUUAUACAAUUCGAGUUAUCCAAAGAUCCGAAUAAGAAAGGGCAAAACUACGUCGUUUUGAUAAAUGUUUACCUUUUCUAAAAUUAAAAGUCAAAAUUAUUAAGUUAAAAGGAAAAAUUACGUCCUUUUGAUAAAUGUUUACUCAUUAAGUUAAAAGACAAAACAAUUAUAUUGUUUAUGUAGUUAAAUAAUUUUGUAUUUCAUCUACUAGUUAAAUAAUCGGUCCAUGUAAACAUAACAUUGAGUAUAAAUAAUAUGAUUCGUUAACUCGACUCAAUUCGAUUAGAUUAGAUUAAAAUAAAAAAUUCAAAUUGAAUUCAAUUGCUAAAAUGUAAUUCAUCAACUCGACUAACUCAAUUCAACUCAACUCAACUCAACUCAACUCAACUCAACUCAAUCAAAUACUCACCCCUAAAUACAACUCACCUAACAUCGUCCAAGUAAAAACAACAAAAACUAGUGUAUAUAUGCACAAUAAACUGGUCAUAGAAUGAAACAAAAAUGACCGAAUCCAUUUUUUAUUUAUUAUUAAUGGUGGGAUGUCAUUAAAGUUUUCAUCGCCAUAACUUCUUUACUUUUGUAAAUGUCAUCCCGCCUAUAUGGUCAAGCAUCAUUUUCCAAAAUGGGUAAGUUUUCAUUUUCUUUUUUGGGAUAAUGCGAUAUUUGCCCCCUUUACUUUAGUAAUAUUUUCAAAUGUGAUAUCUAAAGUUUCAAAAUGUCCAAUGUGUCCCUUGUAUUUUACUUCUGUCUUCUAAAAAGAUAACGGGGUCUAACUACGUUAAUGCUUGACAUGUUAGGACACAUGGGCAACUCUUAUCAAGCCACAUUUCACAUUUUUGCAAAAAAAAAAAAGCCAAGUCAAGUCAAGGGGCUUUGAAACAAUUUUACCCUUUUUCAAGGCAAAAAAAAAAGAAAGAAAAAAAAUAAAACUUCAUUAAAAUCUUUUUGUAAUAUGCUUCUAAUUUUAAUCCCAAAACCCAUUGAUUUCCCUUUUUCCAUAACUAAAAAGAGUCCUCAUUUUCAAAUGCAAACCUUCAUUUUCCACCACCACUAUCACAGAGCUUGAGCCUAUUUUCACCAUUGUCAAGUCCUUCACCCCAGCUGUGGUGGCAAAUCUUGUUCCAAGUUUUGACUUCCUUGGCAUUGCCAUUGAUGGCCCUGGUAAUGUUUUCAUUUCAGAAUCUUUAGGGGUUUCGAUUUCAAACACCCAUUUUUAUUUAUGAAGAGAACAUCCAACUUUUAGGAUUUUAGUUUCAAUUACUAUUUGGGGAAAUAAAAUUUAUAAAUUAAGAUUUUGAUGGGUUUCGAUUUGGAAAAAUUGAUUUUGUGGGGAUUCUUCUAACACCUCAAUACCUGACCCGAUCGCCAGACUCGAGAUAUAAGAUGUCACAUUUGUUGCCGAAGCAACUACGAUCGGUCACAGUCAAUUUAUACCAUUUAAUGUUUAAAUUCAACCAAAAUGUAGAUUUAAUACAAUAUACAAACAUUUCCAGGUCAUACACGAGCUUACGAAAGCUCAAAUAGUAACCCAAAGUCAAAGAAGGACCAAAUUGUAAAAGUUUCAAAAUACAAGGUUGACAUCAUGAUGUCACCAAACAGUUUGUCACGUGACGGCACCAGGCCACUCGACGUCGCAGCGCCACUUACUGUGUUGACCUCGUCGAGACGACGGGGUUCCUCGUCUCUUAGUGACAUUAUAGAUCAUUUCUCGUCGCGACGUCCCGUAUUGUUUUGACAAUUUAUACAGAACAAUAACCUGCAAAUUUUCCAGCCAAGUUCUAACACAUUCAAAUUUUAUACCAACUAACAAAUACAUUCAUCUAGCAGAAACUCACGUACUUAACAAUCUAGUUCAACAAUAAGCAAAUGCUUUAUACCCUAUAAACUAACAAUCUAAGGCAUUACUUUUAAAACAUACACGUUCAUAUGAAAAUCAUCAAGAACUUUAAUAUUGCAGCACAUAUACAUAUUCAUACUAAAUUUAAGUCAAUUUACAAACCAUAUCUAAUCAACCAAGCUUAUACAUUAGUCUUUUGAACCAAAAUUGUUUAUAAGCAUAAUAUGUGUAAUAUCCCGAAAAUUACUACUGUAAUACCCUAAAAAUUACUACAGUAAGAAAAUAGGUAUCCUUGAUAGUAAAAUAAGAAAAUAAAGUGACAAAAAGGAAAAUUUUGAGUUAUGGCAAUAUUGGGAAUUAUAUUAUGACAUAUUAAUUCAAGAAAGGAUUAAAUCGCAAAAGUGAGAAAAGUUUUGUUGCCCAAGAGUAAGUACUCGAAAUUUGAGGGGUUAAAGUGUAAAUAUGAAAAAUUUGAAGGACCAAUAGUGUAAAUAUUUUAAGGGUGGAAUAAUUUAGAAACUAAGUAAAAUGGAUGAAUUAGGACCAAAUUGAAAAGGUGAAGAAUUUUGAGGGACUAAAUCAUAAUUUUACCAAAUUAAGUGAUGACUCAAGGAUGAAAUUUUUAAAGGUUAUAAAGGGCAAAAUGGUUAAUUAGAAGAGAGAGAAAUCUAGAAGGCAAUGAUGAUGUUGGUGAUAUUUUAGAUUAAUUAAAUAAAUAUUAGUUUAUUAAUAUUUUAAUUUGAUUUUUAAAUGAUAUUUUAUUAUUUUAUUAUUAUUCUAUUUGGUAUAUAUAUGGAAGGAAAGGUGAAAAAUCUUCAUAUGCAUCCAAUGUAUGAAGAGAAAAGAAAGAAAGAAACUUUUUUUUCUUUACAAUUUGGCCCUUUCACCAAAAAAAUCACCAUUUUCACUUAGAAAUCAAAAGAAUUUUCAUAUCCAUCAAGAGAGAAAGAUAACAAGGAGACAAUGGGGAGCUAGAAUAUCAAGUUAGAUUCAAGAAAUAGAAGCUGGAGGAGAGAGAAUCAAGUUAAAGAUUGAAAUCAAUAGGACAAGGUAAGAACAUCAAGAUUUCAAUAUAUUUUUAAGUUUGUUAUUAUUGAAAAAGUAUGGAAAUGAUGUUAUAUUAGAGUUUUCUUAAAUGAAGUCUUAUGUUCUUGAUAUAUUAGUGAAGGGAAAUAAAAGAAAGUGAUGGAAAAUAUUAUAGAGAAAAUGAAUAAGAAAGUUAUAAACUUAGUAAUCAACAUUUUGCACUAAAACAGUUUUAGACAGCAGCAGUAGACUAACUUCGAAAAAUCACCAUAAAUUAUGGAAAUCGAAUUAUAGGAUGAAAAAAAUUGGAAUUAAAUAUUAUUAAGUCUAGUUUCUCAUAGAAGAAACGGUGUAAGUAAUGGAAUUGUAAAUCAUGAGAUAUAAUAAAUUAUGUGAGACAAGGUCAGAAUGAAUUCGGGUUCCCCUGUUCUGAAUUUGGAAAAUCAUAAAAAAUUAGAGAAAAAAUAAUUAUGGGCUUAAAUUUAUAUGUUUAAAAUACUGAAUGAGUCUAUUUUCAAGAGAAACAAACGGAAACAUCAUCCAAAUCCUGUAUGAGGAGAUAAUUAAUUUUUAGUGAAGAAGGGUCAGAACUGUCAGACAGCAGAAUAGGGAUGACUUUAAAGAAUAAACUGUACUUAUUGGCCAAACCAAAAAUUCUGAAAGUUUUAUAGUAAGAAGAUAUAUGAGUCUAGUUUUAUAGAAAAUUAACGGAUCUCAAUUCAGAGUUACAUAGCUCAAGAUAUAAAUAAUUUUGUGACAAUGACUGAAGUGGACAGCUUUGAAUGAACAAAUAAAAAAAUAGUGAAAUUAUAGAUAAUGUUACAUAUAAGCAUGUUAUAUACACUAAGGAUGUGGAAUGUAGAGGAGGAGGAAAUUAUAUGAUUAUUCAACUAGCAUGAGUUUUCAUUAAAAAUGGCUAAUCUGCAUGUUUUAGGUUCAGGGACUAAAUUGAAUAAAAGUAAUAUUUUAAGGGUAAACUUGUAAAAAUGUCAAAAAUGACCAAAUUGCAUGAAAUGAAUUGUUUUAUUAUUUAAAUUAAUAAAUUUAAUGAAAUAUUAAUUUAUAUCAAGAUUGAGUGGAAAUUCGAAGGAAAAUAGAAAAUUACCAAAAUAUCCCUGAAUUUUGGUAUUUCUGCAAUUUAGCCUGGUAAGUUCGUGUAACUUGAAUUAUAUUCUUAGAUGAUUGAAAUCUAUAUAUUGGAUUGAGAAAUUGAUUUGAAUUGUGAACAUGAGAAAUUGUGAAUUGGAUGAAAUGGAAAUGAAGCUUUGAAUUACAUGAGUAAAUAUCGGGUCUCGUAGGCCCUAUUUGUUAUGAAUAUAAUAUUUCGAGGAUAUGCUGUAAAGAAUUAUAAAAGCACGUUAACAAUUUAAAAGUUUUAAUUCGGAUGAAAUUUUGUAACUUGGUUUAAUACGUAUGCAAAUGUAUGUCUUCUAGUAAUGUCUCGUACCCUAUUCCGGCGUCGAAUACGGGUAAGGGAUGUUACAAUGUGACAUCGCCAGAUUCGGUCAUAACGUUUAGACCGGGUUUGGGGUGUUACAAUAUGUAUUAAACUUGACUCAACCUAGGUACAUGCCUUAUAACCGACAAAAGAGAUUUAUACAAACAUUGUUGAGUCAUCACAAUUCAAAGCUAAUUUUACAUUAUCAUUAAGUUAUACUAUUUUCAAUUUUAUUUAAUUUAGUCCUAUAUCUCGAUAAUCAAUCAAAUUCAUACCAAUGCAAUUUGAUCAAUCAUAUUUCACUUACCUCAAUAUCGUACCAUGCAAAAUAACAUAAAUAUGCAACAAUACAAGUAAUUCAAAUCAUAGAAAUACAAACGAACACAUGAGUUAUUCGUCGUUGGCUUUCACCUUUCCUCUCCCUCUUGACGUUCCCGUGUCGUCUUUAACUACAAAUAAUAAUUCGACAAUACAUAAUAUUAAAAGCUCAAAUCAAAAUUAAUUACAAGGUCACACAUAUUUUCCAAUUUAUUCAAUUCAGUCCCUAAAAUCGAGGCUAACCUAACUAUCAAUUUAAAGCUCUAAACUGAAAUACAAUUUCACUAUUACCCAUUAGAGACCUCCAAUUUCUUAUUGAUACUAUCAAAUUUACAUUUUAUUCACUUUAGUCUCUAAUGUAAAAACUAUUAAUUUAGCUUCACAAUUUAGUUCUUUUUCACAUCUAAGCUUAAAACCUAUCAAUUUAACACCUAAAACUUUAAAUUCUCAAUAAUGACAUCUUUCAAAACUUUAACAUUAGUAUAUGGGCUAGCUAAAUCAAGCUCCCAUGACCUCAAAAACAUUGUAAUACCUAAUUAGUGACCAAAACUUUGAAAACCCUUGGAGGCUUUUGUUUUCCUCUUCAAUGGAGGUGGACGGUUUUUAGGUGGAAGAUGAAAGAAAGUUUCUGUUUCAUUCCACUGAAUUUGGAUAUAUAUAUAUAUACAUGAUUAAGUUUUAAUUAAUCUUAGUUUAAUUAAACAUAGUUUAUUUUAAUUAAGUUUAAUGCUUAAUUAACCUUACCAUCCAGUAGCUCUUAAUUUGACAUGGUAUAAUUGAAAUUUUAGACCCUUGGUUAACUGCAAUUUAAGUCCCUAAAUCUUUGGCCAAUUAAAAAAUUAUAGCGAUAAGACUUUUACAAUUUAUCCCUAGGCCCUAAUUAAACACAAUUUCGACUAAAUUACUUAUCCAGAAUUCAGUUCACCUAUAUAGUAACUUCUUAACUUUUUUUAUUUAAUAUUUACAGACUCGGUUUACGGAAAUGGAGUCCCAAAACCAUAUUUUUUGACACCACUGGAAAUUGGGUCGUUACAGUCUUCUUCACUUUUCGGAUGAAACCAAAAAAGAUUAUGGCCUAUAUCUCCAUGAAAACUUGAGAUUUUGAAAGAUGGGUUUUCAAAUAGGGAAGAAGAUUGCUUGGUUUUUUUUUCUUUUUUUUCUUUCACUGGAUGAGAAGUGACAAAAAUGAAACCAAAAGCUAAACCUUAACGAUUACAAAUUGGGGAUGGUUAUUGCCAAAUCAAUUUUUUUAAAGAGAAAAUUUUGGGGAAGAGAUAUUGACAUUGUCAUUGAUGAAGAAGAUGAAAUUUGGGAUUUUUAUUUGAUUUUAGUUAAAAUAAAGGUUUGGUAUAAUUGUGUUUUAGUCCUUCAAAUGACUGCAUAAAAGAGUGAUGUGGCAAAUUGAGCCACAUGUUAUUUCCCAAAAAAUGUCAACCAUUUUCUUUUGCCUUCGGAAAUAAAAUGGUAAAAUUGUUAUCAUGCCCCUAGAUUUGAAUUGGCUAACAUUUUUCUUGCAAAAAUUGCCACAUGUCGAUAUUUUAGUGGUUCACGUGUAAUGCCACAUCACACUUUAACGCCAAUAGACUCAAGUACCUUUUUAGAAAACGAAAGUAAAGUACAAGAGGUACAUUGGACAUUUAGAAACUUUAGGUACCAAAUUAAAAAUUUUACUAAAUACAGGGGCGAAUAUGCCAUUAUCCUUUUUUUAUAACUUCCAUUUUUGAAAUACUUUAUAGACCAAUAUGUAGUUUUAUUUUAAUCCCAAAUGGAUCAGGUUUCACCUAUUAUGGGUAGAUUCGACUUAACUUUUUCAACAAAAAGUAUAUCAAAUGGAUAUCAGAUAAAGCUUUAACUAUCGCUUCAUACAAGUAAAGACAAAAUUAUAUAUUUAUAAUCACAAAAAAUAUUUAAGUAUUAUUAUAAAAAAAAUAAUCCAUAAAUGAACAACUGUUAAUGCUCAUUUUAAAAUUUUACUAUUAAAGUUUAUUAAUUACAAAUUAACAUUAUACUUUUAAAUAAUUUUUUUAAGUAAUGAAGUUUUUUUUAAAUUUUAAAUAAUAUAUUGUCAUAAAUAGCAAUUGAUUGAAGUCUAAAUGAUUUGACUUUUAAAAUAUAUUUAGUAUUUAAAAUUUUUUUAUAGAUAUCUAAAGUAUCCAAACGUUAAAGAUUUUAGUCUAAAAUUGUGCUAUUAAAAAGAACUCAACGAAUUAAAUUAUGCCAUGUGUUUUUGUUUUAUAAUUUCAUAAAUAUUAUUGUUAAAAUUGUUUUCCUAGUAUAUUAUUAUUAUUAUUAUUAUUAUUAUUAUUAUUAUUAUUAUAAUUUCAUAAAUAUGAUGCCCACGGAUGACGACAUUGACGAGAAUACCAAAAUCGUUGAGUUCUUUUAUUAAGCCGAUGGACUUCAAAGGAUUUAUGAUCGUCGGAAUAAAAGGAUUUGGAGACAAAAACAAUCAUUAUGAUAAGAAUCUUGAAACCCACAAUUUAUCUAUAUAUUUAUUUUUUUUAAAAUAAAAUAUUUAAUUAUUAUAUAUAGACGAAGAUGAAUAAUUACUCUGAAUUUGAUGAAGAUGAAAAUUUUGAUUUUUUAUUAAAAAUAUUUAAUUAUUUCAUUUAUAUAUUUAAAAGUUUAUAUAUAAUUUUUAUAAGAGAACUCACUAAAAGGGCUCCUAAAUCAUCUUUGGAUUUUUCCAUAGUUUUCUAAAAACAAAAAUGCUUGGGUUUUUUUUCUGUUGGAUAAAAGGUGGAGGAGGGGAUGUGAGAAGGGAGAAUUAAAUAAUAUACUUUUUAUUUGGUCAAAGGUUGUUAAAAUUCUUUUAAACUUUUUUAGAAAAAUUUCAACUAAGUUUCUAUAUUUUUCUUCAUUCAAUUAAGUACUUGAACAAUAGGAUUAUAAUUAAUUAAAAAUUUGACUCUUAACCGUUACAGAAUAACGAUAGUCUUUUUUCUGGAUAUUUUACCACUUGACACACCAUAAUUAUGCCCAGUGACAAAAAUUGGUGUUUUAUAUUUAAAAUCAUUACAAAUUAUAAAAAAAUUAUAAAAAAAAUCAUAGAAACUAUAGAAAAUCAUAAAAAUUUAAAAAUUAUAAUAUAAACGUUUUAAAAAAUUAUAAAAAAAUAAAAGUGCAAAAAUUAUAAAAUAUAGAAAACUAUAAAAAUUAUUAUAAAUGAAAAAAUAUAAAAUUAAAUAUAUUAAAAAUAUAUAUUAUAAAAAAUAUAAAUCAUGAAAAUAUAGAAAAAAUUGUAAAAAUUAUGAUUUUUUUAAAUAUAGAAAUUUAUUAGAAAUAUUAAUAAUUUUUUUAAAAAUAUUAUAAGAAACAUAAAAUUAUUAAAUAUAUUAAAAAAAAAAACUAACGUUCUCCAUUUACACACUAACCGUUGUUAACAAUACAAUACCAAUUAAAAAUUAUGAAAUAUUUUUUGAUCCCUAAAACUAUAUGCUAUGUUCGUCCACCACAAACCUCUCCAAACCUUAUGCCCUAUGUUCGUCCACCACAAACCUCUCCAAACCUUAUGCCCCUUUUGUCCAUGGAUGAUGACAAGAAAGUGAUUUGAGAUGUAAACUAAGGGUCAGUUCUUCAUUGCUUAAAAAAAAGUACUUUUGACUCCAAAAACAUUUUUGAAAGAAAAGCUGUGAAGAACAAGCUGCUUUUGGCUGAAAUUUUUAGCUUUUCAGAAGUACUUUUGAAAAUCAAUUCUGAAAAGGAGCUAAAAAGGAGAAACUAAAAAUUUUAGCUUUUCCUCUCCCAAAAACACUUUUGGUGCUUAAAUACUUUUUCACCCCUCCAAUAACAUAGUAUUUUUUUCUUUCUUGGUGCUUAAUUACAAUUGUGUUAAAAUCAUUAAUUAAAAUAUAAAAAAAUUAUUUUUUAAAAUACUAAUUACAAAUAUUUAAUGGUUAUAUUUAAAUAUUUAAAAUAUAAUUUAUAUAUUCUAAUUAAAAUUUAUAAAUAAUUAAUAUUUAUUGCUUAAAAAUAUUUAAAAUUUAUAUUUCAUAUAUUAAAAUAUGAACAACAAGUUAUAAUGAUUUUUUUUAUAUUCUUACUAAAAUAUAAUAAUAUUAACUAAUUUAAAUAUUAUUUAAAUGUAUAUUUGUUACUUGAUAAUAACAUGUCUAAAAUAAACAUUUUAUUUCUCAAAAGUACUUUUUGACAGCAAUGCUAAACACUCAAAUUUUAAACCAAACUUUUCAAAAGCAAUUUUCCACAGUACUUUUCAAAAGUAAUGAAGAACUAGCCAUAAGGUGGGGAAAUGGGUUGAGAAAGCAAAUGACAAUAGAGACUAUUUGUAUAUAAAAUGUAAAUAUCUUUUUUAUAUUUUAUAUUUUUUUAAUUUUUUAUAUUAAUUUUUGAAUAAAUUUUAAUAAUAAAUUUUUAAUUUUCUAUAAUUUUUUGCACUUUUUUUGUAAUUUUCUAUUUUAAUAAUUUUCUAUAUUUUAAACAUUUUUCUAUAUUUUUAAAUUUUUUAGUUUUUCAUAAUUUAUAUAUAUUUAAAAUUUAUUAAUGUUUUUAAAAUUUUUCUAUAACUUAUAUAAAAAAUUCAUUUUUAAUAAAAUUUUUUAAAAUUUAUAUUUUUAAAAUUUUUUCACUUUAAUAUUUUUAUAUAUUUUAAAAAAAGACAUAUAUUUUUAUGAUUUUCUAUAAUCAUUUAAUAUAUUUUUAUAAUUAUUUAAUAAUUUUUAAUGUUUUUGAAUAUAAAAUACAUGUUUUUGCCACAUGACACAAUUUUGGCGUACCACGUGGCGAGAACACAUAAAAAUGACUAUAAUUAUUCUAUAAGAGUUGACCGUUAAUUUUAAUGGUCAAAAGGCUUAAUUGAUUGUAAUUUUAAAGUUCAAGGGAUUAAUUGAGUAAAAAAAGUAUAGAUACCCCAACCAAUUUUUACCUCUCAUCGGGUCAUACCCCAAUCAGUUCUCAAUUCCCGAUUUAGAUAACAUUGAAUUUUGGAAUUUUUGUUUAUAUUUUUUUUGAAUUUUACCUUUAAAGUUAACAAUGUCAAAGAUAGAAUAACUUUUUUAGCCCUCAAUAUUUAUAGAGGUGUUCAAACAAAUAUGUUCAAAAGACGGAGAGGUGAUUACCCACUUUGCCAAACUCAAAAGUCCAAACAUAUAUUCAUGGAAAAUGAAGUUAUUAAGUUAUAUUUAUUUUUUUUGGUGGAAAAGAGAAAAUUACAAGAAAUAAAAAAGUCAACUAGCCUAACUCCCCACACGGGGGUUUUCCAAACAUUCGCAGCCCUUGCCUUCCCGAGUGAGCCAACCUGGCAAGGUUAUCGGCUUCCUGAUUCUCUUAUCUAGGUAUGUAAUAAAUAUUCCAGUGUGAAGUCUGAGACAAUAACUGAAGAAUCCUCCUAAUUAGAGCUGUAUUGGAACCUCCUGUAGAACUCUCUUGAAUGGCUAUCACCACUUCAAUACUAUUAGAAUGAAUCAUGACAUUAUACAAACCACAAUCAGUUAAUAGAUUAAGACCAUCCAAUAUGGCCCACAGUUCAGCCUCAAACACUGAGCAACUUCCUAAAAACCUAUUAUAACCAAUGAUCCACUUCUCAUUUUGAUUUCUCACAACCCCUCCUACUACUGCAGAGUCGCCCUCAAACCUAACAAAACCAUCUGUAUUUAAAGAAACCUAGCCUUCAGGCAAAUUGGAGCAGGAUUUCAUAAUCCUCCCCGUAUUCAACUGACUUUGAUUGAUCUUCAAAUCAUGCUUGGCCCAACUAUAUAAGGCUCUGAUAAUAUCAAAACUGCUCUAUGGUACACCCUAAAAAUAACAAGGUUACGAUUCUUCUAGAUACGCCAGAUGAUAAUCCCAAACAGACAUUCCCAGCUAACCUCCACGAAGCAAAUAUCAUACUGAUUAAGCAAUUUGGAAGCAAUCCAUUCCUGGGUGUUACUAAAAUAGAACCUGAUAAGGCGAUUAGUAGGGAUUAGAAUAUUCCAAAUAUCUUCCGCUGUCGGACAAUCUCUUAAAACAUGUAACACAUCUUCGGAGAUAUGGCUACAAACUCUACAAACCAAACUCUACCCGAAACCCCGACGAACUCUUUCUUCACUAGUGAGAAGUCUCUGCUUAAGAAUUAGCCAAAUAAAAAACUGUACUUUUUAUAGACCUUUGAAAUUCCAAUGGAUCUUCCAAGUAUCUUCCUUCGAUUUCCACGAACUCGCCUUAAUUCUUCCAUAGGCGUUUUUAAUAGAAAAAGAACCCGUCGUUGAGCCUCCCCAAAUUAUCUUGUCUACGCUUGCCUCUGGAUGAGGUGGGGGUAUUCCAAUAAUCUUUUGUACGAAUGUCCUAGGUACCCAAAGUUGAAAUAAUUCAAGGUUCCAAUUACCAUCCACUGAAACCAUAUCACUAAGCAAAUAAUCCAAAUCAAGACUAGAGUGAUCGGGAAUCAAAUUAACAAGAGGCUCUACAUUAGGAAUCCAUGGAUCUCGCCAACACUUAACUUUUCACCCAUCCCCCACUGACCAAAACAAAUUCUCCCGUAUGAGAGGCCAAACCUUAGUAAGGGAUCUCCACAAGGAGGAACUUCUACUACAGGAUAAAUUUUAUGGUAUUUCAUCAAUUACCCCAUACUUUGCUUGUAAAACAUGUACCCAGAGAGCUUUAGAAUUAGUCAAAAUUUUAAAACCCAACUUCAUCAUGAAGGAAGUGUUGUGAUAUUGCAGCUUUCAAAAGCCAAGACCACCAUGCUUUUGAGGUUGAUAGACAUCCUCCCAUCCUACCAAAUCCAAUUUCUUACCAUUCUUUGAAGAUCCCCAAACAAAUUGACACACCAUACUUUCAAUUUCCUCGCAAAGUCCCUUGGGAAUCAGCAUAAACUGCAUAAAGUAACUAGGAAUUGCCAUAAGAAUGGAUUGAGCUAGGGUAGUCCUACCAGCAAGAGACAAAUAUCUCGAAUCCCACCCCUGUAGCUUACUUUAAACCUUGUCCACCACAAAGCACAAAGAACUAUUGGCAACUUUAUCAUGAAAAAGGGGAAUUCCUAGAUAGCACCCAAGAUUGGCACUCUUCGAAAGCCAAGAAUACGACACAAGUUACUUCCUAACACCUUACUCAUGCCUUUAGAAAAGAAAACACUUGAUUUGUUCACAUUAAUAUUUUUUCAUGAAUAAUCACAGAAGCUAUCCAACACUUUCUUCAAGAUUAUAGCUUGACUCUCUUCAGCUUGACCAAAUAGAAUCAGAUCAUCUGUAAAAAACAGGUGAGACAAGAAAGGGCCUAGACUAGAUAAACGGAUAGGUCUCCAGCAACCAAAAUUAAUAUUAGCCUAUAUACUAUGGCCAAGCCAUUCCAUACAUAGAACAAAUAAGUAGGGGAAAAGUGGGCACCCUUGACAGACCCCCUUGACGGCUUGAAUUUCUGAGUUGGAUUGCCAUUCCACAAAAUAUGCAAAGUAGAGUUAGUGAUAGUAGACAUAAUCACAUUACAAAGGUAAUUCAGAAUACUUGUAGCUUGAAGAGAUGCAUCGAUAAACUCCCAACGCAUUUGAUCACAUGCUUUCUCUAGGUCAAUCUUUAUGGACAUCCAAUUCCGAGUCUUUUUCUUAAUUUUCAUGGAAUGAAAUACUUUCCGAGUAAUAAUAAUAUUAUCCAUAAUACUCUUUCUCGUAAUAAACCCAGUCUGUUCUUGACCAAUAAUUCUUGGAAAUACCAGUUUGAAAUGAUUGGCAAUAAUUUCCAUUACCAACUUGUAAAGAACUGAGCAAAGGCUGAUUGGUCGAAAUUGGGAAAACAAUCUGGAUUUGGGAUUUUAGGAAUGGGGACUAAAAGGGUAUUAUUCAGCUCUGGAUCGAUUGUUUCACCAUAAAAAUAUUCUUGAUCCAAGUACAAACCGAAUCCCCAAUCUGCUCCGGUUGACUCUAAAAGAAGAGGGCAUGGAAUCCAUCACUCCCCAGCACCUUCAGAGGACUAUAUCAAACAAGGCAGAUUUUAUUUCCUCAUUUGAAACUAGUUUGCUUAACAUUUGGAUCUCAUCAUCUUCAAGCUUCAGAAAAGAACUAAUGGAAGACCUCUCAUCGGCCCCGAGUCUUCUAUAUAUAAAGUUUUGAAAAAACAUGACGCCUCCUAACGUAGAUCCUCAUCAUAAAAAAUCCACUCUCCUUCCUCAUUUUUAAACCCGUAAUCUAAUUUUUCUUUCUCCUUUUAAGGUUGCACCUAUGGAGGAAUUUAGUAUUACUAUCUCCCAGAGAAAGCCAAUCGCACCUCACCAUUUGUUUCCAAAGAAGCUCCUCAUGAUACAGUAGAUUUUCCAAUUCCUCUCUAGUCUACAAUUCCAACUGAAAUAAAUGGUCAGACUGAGAAUAAUUCAACCUACUUUGAAUCGAAUCAAGUUUCUGAAUCAGUUUCUUUUUGCGUAUCCUAACAUGGCCAUAUACCUCAUUAUUCUACUCCUUAAGUUGGCUUGUGAAAUUAGAAAGUGAGCUAGACAUAGAACCAGAAAAAUUCCAAUUAUUCUUCAUGAAGUUGGAAAAAUCUGUAUGCUCAAUCCAUCCUGCCAAGAAAUGGAAAGGACGACCCCUAGAUGGAUAAAGCUCAGAUCGAAGCGAAAGAAAGAUAGGCUUGUGAUCAGACUUGAGUCUAGGUAAGUGGGUCACGAAAUAAUUUGGAAAAGAAUUGAGCCAUGCCUCAUUCCUAAUAGCCCUAUCAAGAGUACGCAUCUAACAGCAGCAGACAAGUCAAGAAAGAAAAGCUAUGCCACCAUUUCUUUUCCUUUUCUAGGUAAACUACACUAAAAUCACUAAACUAUUAAUAGAUUUAUAUUUUGGUCACUCAACUUUAGAAAGUUAUAAGAUGAUAAUUGAAUUAUACAAAAAUUUUCAUUCAAGUUAAUGGACUAUUAAUAUUGUUGUUGUAUAGCCUUCUCUAUUUGCACUGCUUGCAAUAAUCAAAAGCUUUCAUUCCCCUCCCUUUUUACAAUUCAAAUUUUUUUUCAUGAAAAAACUUUAAACAUCACGAAUCUAUGAACCAUAAUCCAAUCAACUUUUUUUUUGAUCUUCGAUAUUGACCAUUAGAUCGACUUGGAUCUAAGUAAGGGUACUGAUCUACCCUACCUAUCAUUAGCAGGACUUUAGAAAAAAAACCUUAACAACUUAAUGGUUUAAAUAAAAACGUUCAAAUAAUUCAAUGACAUGAAAAAUUUUCAAUAGUUUAAUAACCAUUUUGUAACUUUUUGAAGUUGAGUAAUCAAAACGUAAAUUCACUAGUAGUUUAGUGAUCUUGAGUGUAGUCUACCCUUUCUUUUUUGGUUCAAAAGAAUAUUACAAAAUGAUAUAAAUUCAACAAUCCACUCAAUUCUUAAAAAAAAAAUCCGCUCAAACCUCAUAGGUUCCUACUAGAAAUUUUAUCACAUGUGUAUGCGUAUGGACACCACAAAUUAGAACACAAAUAUUUGUUUAAAAAUAACAUACAAUAAAAAAUGAAACAUAUGGUUUGAAACUAAGUAAUUAUAAUAACACAUGAAAUAUGUACAAUAUUAAAAUAAAAAAUUAGAUUAAAUCGUGAGUAAAAAAAGUUAAACACAAAUACAUCAGAUUAACAAAAAAUUAUAUCAAAUUGUAAGUAAAAUGAAAUUUAAACAUAUAAAUACAUCAUAUUAAGAAUACUAAAUGAUUACAAUUUUUUAACAUGGUGUUCUUGUCAAUAUUAAGUUGAUGUCGAGUUAAUUUGUGACACUAACUCAAUCAACAACAUUAUUAAUAAAUAUUAAUAUAUAUACAAUUAGGGUUUGUUUGGACAUCACAAAAUAAUUGAAUGAAAAUGUAAUUACUACGAUAAUAAUUACACUCUCUUGUAAUUACAAUGAAUUGUAAUUUCCUAGACGUGUUUGGGAGUCAGAGAGUAAUUACAUCGUAAUUCUUUAUGUAAUGUUUGGUAGUACAAAUUUUAACUAUAGAGUUAUAUAAAUUUCAUUUUUAAAAAAUAUUAACUACUAUAAGAAUUAUUAGCAUGAUAAAAUUAAUUUAUAAAAAAGUAACAAAAAUUAAAAUCAAAUAAUCAUAAGUAUUGUGUUAGUCCAAAAAAGUAGUUGAUAAUAUGAUUAUUAACAAAACAAGAAGAAGAAAAUAAACCAUAUGCAAUUUUAUUUAAUUGUUCUAGUUCAUCUUAUAGAGUUGUUUCCUCUUUAAUAUUUAGCAUAUACUCCUUAUCAUCAUCUGUUGGUCUUUGACUGAGUUCAUCAUCAUCUAAAUCUGAAUCUGCAUAAUUACGAUUAUCAAGAUCUUCUUCUUCCAUGUACUCUUUGAAGUAUGGAUCAUCUCAUUUCCACCUAUGAUUGAAGUUAUGAAAUAUGCAACAUGCUAGUAUGGUCCAACUUUUUUUUUAUGUUAUACUAAGGUGAUGUUAAUAUGAGAAAUAUUUUUUUAGAACAAAUGUCUUCUCAACCACAUUCUAAAGCCUUGGAUGCUUCAAAUCAAAGAGUUCGCCAACUGUCUAUUAUGCUUAUGUCUAGCACCAUUCUCUCAAAUGAUAUUAUGCCUCACGAUACGAUGUAAGAAAACAUUUUCUAUUUUCAUAAUUAGUAUCGACAUUAUAAUAUCUGAAUUCACAAUCCAAAUAGUAUGUAGCUUUAAUUAUAAAAACUUAUAUAAACUUAAUUCGAGGAAAGACUUAUACUAGGUUAUAUCUAUUUUUAUAAUACGUAAAUUAAGUAAAAAUAAUAUAAAAAUUAUAAUAUAUAAUCUUUAUAAAAAUGUUUUAUAAAUUGUCCUAAACUUUCAUAACAUUUCUUAUAAAUAAUAUAAGUUUUUGCCAUAACUUGAUAAAGUUAUUUUUUUAUAAAUAAGUUAUGAUAAAAAAAAACUACAACAUUUUUUUUGUGAAUAAGUAUAUUAUUUUUAUAAUAUAUAGCAUGGACACAUAAAUAAGUUAUGUUCAUACUUCUUGGCUAUAACUUUUCAUAAAUAAAUAUAUUAUUACACUUUUAUAACAUGUAAAAGUUUUUAUAAUAAACUUUUUUUAUCAUAAAUUUUAGAAAUUUUUUAGGAUUUAAAUAAUAUUUUUUGUUAUAAAUUUAUCAAAUACAUAUUAAUUUUAUAAUAUAUUUUUUAGAAUUUAUAAUAUAAGAAAAAUUCGACCAUAACCAUUCCAAACACUCAUACAAGUUCAUGUUUAUAAUAUAAUUUUUAUAACUUGUAUAACAAUAAUUUUUUAAAAUUAGAUUUGAGUGUAACUACCCACGUGAUUACUCCAAUUCUCACUCUUUUCCUAAGAAUUGAAAAGUGUAAUUGGGGUGCUCCAAUUACACCCAAUUCAGUGAGACCUACUAAUUACAAUGGUUAUCCAAACAUGCCAUCAUUGUGUAAUUAUAAGCAAUUACACUCAAAUCUAAUUUCUAUGUGGCUUUCUAAACACUACCCUAAUGAAAGUAAUAAAAUGUGCAUAUUAAAAUAAAAACAUAUACAAAAAUAUAAAAAUAAAGUUUCAGUUGAGUGGUAAAUUUAAAAUUUUUUCAAUGUAAUUGACAUGGGUUCAAACCCCAACAUAUCCAUAUAUAUAUAUUUAUUUUUUAACUUAAAAAAGGUUAAAGUACCCUAAAAUAAUAUAACUUAUUUUAAAUAUGAUUGAACAUUUUUGUAAUUUUCCUAACCGAGUUGGUGCUUGGUUGACUCGUUACACCAACACAGUCAGGAAUUUUAUUAACGGUAUAGAUAAAUGUUAGAUAAAAAAAUUUAAAAAUCAUAUUUUUCUAUAAAAUAAGUUAUACUAUUAUUAAAAUAUUUUUAUUUUUUAAUAAAAAACAUUUAUAUUAAAAUUACUAAACAUUAUAAUUUUAAAUUUUUAUCCUUUCAAUUAAGACUUGAUUUUUAUAUAAAUUUUUAAUAAAUGUAUUUUUUUAUAAUUUUAUUUUACUCACAUGUUUGUCAUAAUCUAAUAUAUACUUGUUAUACCCCUCUAACAGAAAGACAUGUGUCAAGACAUUGUUGACUUUGCAUUGACCCUCUAAGCACAACCAUCCAACCCGCUUCAAACAGAACCUAUCACCCGUGGUCAUAAGAGAUUGUUAUCUUAAUGUGAACACACUUCCAAGACAAUAAGGAGUCCAUUUAAGCUUAAUUACUUCAAACUGAUAGAAUCCCAUAAUACACACCCAUGAUUAUUCAUUACAUGUUUAACAUGAUUAAAUGCUUAUCUAGCCAAUAUCAUACCAGUGGAAAAUGAGACUUUUUCCUAUAAAUACCUUGAAAAACUAUGGGCAAGGGAUCAAUCCUUUCUAUACCUUAAAGUUACUUGCAUUUAUCUUUUCAAUCAGCUUGCCCUCUUAUCCUUGUUUCGGCUCUCGACCUUUAUAGGUAAACCAACAUCUACU
rnacentral:lncRNA from 1 species